AGCAAAGUUUGUUAUUGGUAUGAGCUUUUGUGUGCAUGCACACUUCUUCGGAUACCCGUCAGAUACACUGAAGAAGUGUGCAUGCACACGAAAGCUCAUAUCAAUAACAAACUUAGUUGG